UUACAGCUUUGGAAUAACUUGUCUGGUGGCAAGCAGGAGCAGAAGGGAUAAGGCCAAAACACUGAUACAGUUCCAAAGCUGCAGCUCAAGGAGAACAGCGAGAAGUGCAGAACUGGGGGAGAUACCAUUACCAGGUGCUUUGUACAAGGAAAACGAAUGACUGCUUACUUCUGACAGAAGAGUUGUCCGCAGUUUCUGCAAUGGUGACGUCUUUCCGUGAGAGAAAAUCGAACUGAACAGCCCGAACAGCUGUCUCCUCCCUCAUCUUUCACCCAGUGGUCAGCUGCAGACCGGCCAGGUUGGUCACUCACAGACCAGCUGAACACUCUUCCUCGACCAUCGCCUACUAGAAUCCUGCUAUGAUCCCUGCAAGAACAGGAAUGGACAUUCCAGCCACAACAUACCAGCUACAGUACAAAGAAGAAGAACAUAAGAACGGCC